rnacentral:misc_RNA from 2 species
AAGUCGUAACAAGGUUUCCGUAGGUGAACCUGCGGAAGGAUCAUUAAAGAGACGUUGCCCUUCGGGGUAUACCUCCCACCCUUUGUUUAUUAUACCUUUGUUGCUUUGGCGGGCCCGUCCUCGGACCACCGGCUUCUGCUGGUCAGUGCCCGCCAGAGGACCUAAAACUCUGUUUGUUAAUAUUGUCUGAGUACUAUAUAAUAGUUAAAACUUUCAACAACGGAUCUCUUGGUUCUG